AAGGCGAUUAAUAUGUUUGUUACGAAUUAGACUACGGGAGAAAUACGGUACAUGGAAAGUGUGUUUUGCGGUACGAGAGAAGUGCGGUACGAUUCAAAUAGUUACAAAAAUAUAUAGAUACAUAUGUAUAUAUAAAGAUUUUGAUACUGUUAAAGCACUGUUGCGGUGCGGUUUUUGUUACCAUUCACAAUCUAUAUGUUUGUCGAUACUUAUAUUUUUUUGUAUUUAUG
rnacentral:sRNA from 1 species